UUUAUCUGGAGUGACUCUCAUUUUACAAAUGAGGAAACUGGUAGAGAAUCUGAUGUCAGAAACAGCGCACGCCACGGUAUCAUGUGACUCUUCCAACCUAUAAAUGCAUUUUCAGAGACUCAGAUUCACUCAAGAUGGUCCUGAUUUUAUGGAGAAGUCACAUACUAGCAAGUGACAGAUUAGGAUUACACUAGGACAAAAAUGUGUCAAGCCAGGGUAGAAGAAAGGAAGAGCCCAUCUAGGGAGCCACAGCCAUAUGUGAAUCUGAAAGCCACCUGUCCACUCACAGCCUCAGGACUUCAUACUCUAUUUCUAGUUUUCUGGUUUCUGUGUAUUUGAAGGAUGCCUGCCCAUGGCCACUUCAGCUUUAAAGGUUUGACCUGCCUGGACCAUGGGACUCAGGGCCUUAUGUGUAGUUUACGGUCCAGCUUCUCUUCACAGUCAGGAUUGCUGAAUGGCACCUUUUUAUGUACAGGCUCUGUCACCAUCCUGUCUUUGUGUCCAUCAGUGAAACUCUUGAUCAUCUACCCUUCAUGAGAGGACAUGACCUGAAGAAGAUCGCCACUCAGGAGCCAGGAAAGUC
rnacentral:lncRNA from 1 species